CUCGUGUCACCAGUUCAAAUACCGGAAAAUCGGUAGACGCUACGGACUUAAAUUUUGAGCCUUAGUAGAGAAAUUUAUUAAGUGACUGUUUUCACAUUCAGGAAAACCUAAGGUUUGAAAUAUGAGGCAAUCCUGAGCCAAAUUUGAGUUAUGAAAUAGGUGCAGAGACUCGAAGGAAACUAUCCUAACGAAAAAAGUUUUUUUCUUUAUAUUACAAGUAUCGGUUAAGUGUAUAAUACAAAAUAUAUUUGAAA
rnacentral:tRNA from 1 species